GACGAACGCUGGCGGCGUGCUUAACACAUGCAAGUCGAGCGGUAAGGCCCUUUCGGGGGUACACGAGCGGCGAACGGGUGAGUAACACGUGGGUGACCUGCCUUUAGCUCUGGGAUAAGCCUGGGAAACUGGGUCUAAUACCGGAUACGACUCCGCGGUGCAUGCUGUGGGUGGAAAGCCUUGUGCGGCUGGAGAUGGGCCCGCGGCCUAUCAGCUUGUUGGUGGGGUGAUGGCCUACCAAGGCGACGACGGGUAGCCGGCCUGAGAGGGCGACCGGCCACACUGGGACUGGAGACACGGCCCAGACUCCUACGGGAGGCAGCAGUGGGGAAUCUUGCGCAAUGGCGAAAGCCUGACGCAGCGACGCCGCGUGAGGAUGACGGCCU
rnacentral:rRNA from 1 species